AAAAAGAGAAACCUGGUUUCCGUGCCCAACGUUUGACCGUCCGUCUUAUUUCAAAAAAUUAUAAAAAAAAUUAAAAAUACAAGUCACGCAUAAAAUAUUAAUCAUGUUUUAUCAUCUAACAACAAUAAAAAUACGAAUUAUAAUUUUUUUUAUAUAAGACGGACAGUCAAAGUUGGACACGGAAAUCUAGGGUUUGCCUUUUU
rnacentral:pre_miRNA from 1 species